rnacentral:rRNA from 1 species
UACGUAGGGCGCAAGCGUUGUCCGGAAUUAUUGGGCGUAAAGAGCUCGUAGGCGGCCUGUUACGUCUGCUGUGAAAUCCCGGGGCUUAACCCCGGGCGUGCAGUGGAUACGGGCAGGCUGGAGGCAGGCAGGGGAGAACGGAAUUCCCGGUGUAGCGGUGAAAUGCGCAGAUAUCGGGAGGAACACCGGUGGCGAAGGCGGUUCUCUGGGCCUGUACUGACGCUGAGGCGCGAAGGCGUGGGGAGCAAACAGG